rnacentral:RNase_P_RNA from 2 species
UUAACAAGUUGAGUAAUCGCCUUUUUUAAGGAGGAAAGUCCGAACUUCCAUUAAAGGGUAGCGGGUAAUCCCCGUCAUUCGCGAGAAAGAGGUGCGAACAGAGACGCUUUAUUCCGAGAGGAAUAAGUACCCUUCGGGGUAAGCUUUAAGGGAAACCUUAGAGGUGAAACGGCUAAAUCCUUACCUGGAAGCAAGAACAAACUCUCUUAGGAGAGAAAAAGUAGUUCGCUUGAGCUAAGAAGUAAUUCUUAUGCCAGAUAGAUGAUUACAUAAAACAGAAUUCGGCUUAUGGACUUGUUGAGGCA